UGGCGAAUAGCAAUUCAAUUAGGCAUAGGCUUCGAUGGCCUGAAACAGGGUCCGACGCCAUAAAUCAAAGCAAGACUCCAUCUCUGCAGAUGCGCCUCUAUUGCAUUUCAAAUCUCCAGCGAAGAUCAUGAAUAUCGUGUUCUUAAACACACUCACCAAAUCCCUACAACAAGACAAAGUUACGCAUCCAUUCAAGGCUUGAAGCUCCCAUCAUUAUCUCUGCAACCUUGUUCAUCUCAGUCUUCCGAAUCCUCUUCGGAAAUUUUGAAAACGUGACGUUGAUUUGCAUUGCCAUGGUGACUCGAGGAAGAGGCAGAGACAUCACAAGUCGUUCUACACGGAUGAAUGGAAAGGAUGGCGACAGAGAACUUACUGAGUUGGAUCUCUAACGCGGUGAUCUUCCGAAGCCGAUGUCGAUGAACAAUACUAUGAGUUUAGCGCUCUUCAUGUAUGUGAUUCUUAGUGCUUGCUAUGUAUCUUCCUUCCUCCACUCCCUUCUCUCUGUUUUAUAUGGUUUACUCGAUGAUCUUGAGAAUGAGAUGAAUGAAGUUGAAUGCGUGUGAGCUUGAGGAAGAAGAUGCAAGUUGAAAGGGAUUUGAUCUGAGAGAGUGUAAGCUAGGAUCUGAGAAGAAGUCAAAAAUUGACUCAAGCCAAUGAUGCAGGGGUCCUUUUAUACUCUAUACCGAUUAUGUUAUGCCUUUCUCUUUCUGUUAUCAUACUUUGUUCAAUUCUGUUACAACUUGUGAAUCAAUUAGGAAACAGUUAAGGUAAUUAGUUGUGAAUUCAUUGACAACUGUGAAUUAUUGUAUUUUAGCUUGAAUACCAAUUAGUGCCAAGUUCUAUGAUUGAAAUUGGAGAGAAAAGCAGAUGAUGCUCAGUUCUGCUAAUCUAUUCGAUGCAGUAAAGUGUUCAAUUGUGCAGUUAGCUUUAUGGUUAGAAAAUAUCUGCUGAAUGUUGUGUAUGUGUCUGCAAGUUUAGCUGCAAUUUAAGGAGUUGCUUUUGGUGGCUGAUGUUAGCUGCAUUACAGGAUUUUUAUGGUGGUCUUGCUCAUUAUGACCUUGGCUUGAAUAGCAUGGCCAUAUAUGCAUUGUAGGUGUGCCUAUAUAUUCCACUUGGACUGUUUGAAUGCAUUUGGUUCUUUUGGGAUGGUUAUGCACAUGAAGAAUGGCGGUUGAACAAUGCAACAAGAUUGAAACUAGAAACAACAUGUGUAAUUAGUUAAUCAAGAAUCAACAUGGGCCCUGGAAGAUUAGGGAUGGAAUUGGGAUGGAGUUGACUUAGGUCAAAGUUGACCAAAAAGUCAACUAUUGACCAAAGUCAACAUUUGGUCAAAGUUCAAAAUUUGAAAUUUUCUCAUGUAAUGGAUAUCUUAUUUGUAAUAAUGAAAUUUGAUGCAUAUGAAUGAAAUUGACACUUGUUUAUGAAUAAA